ACGAUGUAUACCUUUCUGCUGUUAAAAAUUUAUUGCGCUAAUUAAUAUGAAUGCUUUUUGUAUACAAAAAAAAGAGGAAAGUUUCUGUUUUAGGUUUAAUGCUAGUGUCAACAAACGAACCGUACUAAAAAAUGACUGUACAAAUGUGUGCGCAGCAUUUGUAAAAAUUUUCAAAAUAACGAUUUUCAAAAAUACCAUAAAAAAAAAAUACCAUAUACCUGUAUAAAGACAUAAAAAAGUAACUGUGUAAAAAAGUACCAUAUAUAUCGAGGGAUAGGGGUACUUGCUGAUUGCAAUAAUUUCAAUUGAUUUGCGCCAUCUAUUGUCAAUUAUAUAAAAAAUUGAUUAAAAAUCAAAUGUAGCCUAUAGUUAUUAUUCUCUGUAUCUGAUUAAAUGCUACGGCGUCGACCUUUAAUGACAGAACAUUAUCAUCAAAUUUCAUGAAAAUUCAUUAUUUGUUCAAAGGUUAUUACGAUAUACUACGAUCAAUGUCCGACUCUAACCAAUUCGCGAAGUGGCUGGCCACUUCUAGAUUUGGCCAAAGCCCGAAAUAUACGAGAAUUUAUGAAGUAUACGAAAUAUAUGACCAAUUCGCGAUGCGCCUGACCAUCGUUAGCCAAUUCGAGAAUUGUUCAAGAAAAAGUGGUCAAAGCUACAUUUUUUGCAGGGCUAAGUAACCGAGUGCAUUCAUGCGUCACAUGUU
rnacentral:lncRNA from 1 species